UACGAACUGUGCAAACGUUAUUCGGAAUCACUGGGCUUACAGGGUGCGUAGGCGGCUUGUUAAGCAGGGUGUGAAAUCCCUCGGCUCAACCGAGGAAUUGCGCCCUGAACUGGCGAGCUGGAGAGAGACAGGGGUGUGUGGAACUUCCGGUGGAGCGGUGAAAUGUGUUGAUAUCGGAAGGAACGCCGGUGGCGAAAGCGACACACUGGGUCUUCACUGACGCUGAGGCACGAAAGCUAGGGGAGCAAACAGG
rnacentral:rRNA from 1 species